rnacentral:rRNA from 1 species
ACGCUGGCGGCGUGCCUAAUACAUGCAAGUCGAGCGAACGGACGAGAAGCUUGCUUCUCUGAUGUUAGCGGCGGACGGGUGAGUAACACGUGGAUAACCUACCUAUAAGACUGGGAUAACUUCGGGAAACCGGAGCUAAUACCGGAUAAUAUUUUGAACCGCAUGGUUCAAAAGUGAAAGACGGUCUUGCUGUCACUUAUAGAUGGAUCCGCGCUGCAUUAGCUAGUUGGUAAGGUAACGGCUUACCAAGGCAACGAUGCAUAGCCGACCUGAGAGGGUGAUCGGCCACACUGGAACUGAGACACGGUCCAGACUCCUACGGGAGGCAGCAGUAGGGAAUCUUCCGCAAUGGGCGAAAGCCUGACGGAGCAACGCCGCGUGAGUGAUGAAGGUCUUCGGAUCGUAAAACUCUGUUAUUAGGGAAGAACAUAUGUGUAAGUAACUGUGCACAUCUUGACGGUACCUAAUCAGAAAGCCACGGCUAACUACGUGCCAGCAGCCGCGGUAAUACGUAGGUGGCAAGCGUUAUCCGGAAUUAUUGGGCGUAAAGCGCGCGUAGGCGGUUUUUUAAGUCUGAUGUGAAAGCCCACGGCUCAACCGUGGAGGGUCAUUGGAAACUGGAAAACUUGAGUGCAGAAGAGGAAAGUGGAAUUCCAUGUGUAGCGGUGAAAUGCGCAGAGAUAUGGAGGAACACCAGUGGCGAAGGCGACUUUCUGGUCUGUAACUGACGCUGAUGUGCGAAAGCGUGGGGAUCAAACAGGAUUAGAUACCCUGGUAGUCCACGCCAUAAACGAUGAGUGCUAAGUGUUAGGGGGUUUCCGCCCCUUAGUGCUGCAGCUAACGCAUUAAGCACUCCGCCUGGGGAGUACGACCGCAAGGUUGAAACUCAAAGGAAUUGACGGGGACCCGCACAAGCGGUGGAGCAUGUGGUUUAAUUCGAAGCAACGCGAAGAACCUUACCAAAUCUUGACAUCCUUUGACAACUCUAGAGAUAGAGCCUUCCCCUUCGGGGGACAAAGUGACAGGUGGUGCAUGGUUGUCGUCAGCUCGUGUCGUGAGAUGUUGGGUUAAGUCCCGCAACGAGCGCAACCCUUAAGCUUAGUUGCCAUCAUUAAGUUGGGCACUCUAAGUUGACUGCCGGUGACAAACCGGAGGAAGGUGGGGAUGACGUCAAAUCAUCAUGCCCCUUAUGAUUUGGGCUACACACGUGCUACAAUGGACAAUACAAAGGGCAGCGAAACCGCGAGGUCAAGCAAAUCCCAUAAAGUUGUUCUCAGUUCGGAUUGUAGUCUGCAACUCGACUACAUGAAGCUGGAAUCGCUAGUAAUCGUAGAUCAGCAUGCUACGGUGAAUACGUUCCCGGGUCUUGUACACACCGCCCGUCACACCACGAGAGUUUGUAACACCCGAAGCCGGUGGAGUAACCUUUUAGGAGCUAGCCGUCGAAGGUGGGACAAAUGAUUGGGGUG